rnacentral:rRNA from 1 species
AAUCAACGCUGGCGGCGUGCCUCAGACAUGCAAGUCGAACGAUUAAAGCUCUCUUCGGAGAGUGCAUAGAGUGGCGCACGGGUGAGUAACACGUAAGUAAUCUACCUUCGAGUGGGGAAUAACGUCCGGAACGGACGCUAAUACCGCAUAAUGCAGCGGCAUCGCAAGAUGACAGUUGUUAAAGGAGCAAUUCGCUUGAAGAGGAGCUUGCGGCAGAUUAGCUAGUUGGUAAGGUAAUGGCUUACCAAGGCUACGAUCUGUAACCGGUCUAAGAGGACGGUCGGUCACACUGACACUGAAUAACGGGUCAGACUCCUAC